rnacentral:rRNA from 1 species
UACGUAGGGUCCGAGCGUUAAUCGGAAUUACUGGGCGUAAAGCGUGCGCAGGCGGUUUUGUAAGCCAGAUGUGAAAGCCCCGGGCUCAACCUGGGAACUGCAUUUGGGACUGCAAGGCUGGAGUACGGCAGAGGGAGGUGGAAUUCCACGUGUAGCAGUGAAAUGCGUAGAGAUGUGGAGGAACACCGAUGGCGAAGGCAGCCUCCUGGGCUAGUACUGACGCUCGUGCACGAAAGCGUGGGGAGCAAACAGG